rnacentral:rRNA from 1 species
GGAAUCUUCGGCAAUGGACGAAAGUCUGACCGAGCAACGCCGCGUGAGUGAAGAAGGUUUUCGGAUCGUAAAACUCUGUUGUUAGAGAAGAACAAGGGUGAGAGUAACUGUUCACCCCUUGACGGUAUCUAACCAGAAAGCCACGGCUAACUACGNGCCAG